UGGGGAAUAUUGCACAAUGGGCGCAAGCCUGAUGCAGCAACGCCGCGUGAGGGAUGACGGCCUUCGGGUUGUAAACCUCUUUUAGCAGGGAAGAAGCGAAAGUGACGGUACCUGCAGAAAAAGCACCGGCUAACUACGUGCCAGCAGCCGCGGUAAUACGUAGGGUGCAAGCGUUGUCCGGAAUUAUUGGGCGUAAAGAGCUCGUAGGCGGUCUGUCGCGUCUGCUGUGAAAUCCCGAGGCUCAACCUCGGGCCUGCAGUGGGUACGGGCAGACUAGAGUGCGGUAGGGGAGAAUGGAACUCCUGGUGUAGCGGUGGAAUGCGCAGAUAUCAGGAAGAACACCGAUGGCGAAGGCAGUUCUCUGGGCCGUAACUGACGCUGAGGAACGAAAGCGUGGGGAGCGAACAGGAUUAGAUACCCUGGUAGUCCACGCCGUAAACGUUGGGCGCUAGAUGUGGGGACCAUUCCACGGUUUCCGUGUCGCAGCUAACGCAUUAAGCGCCCCGCCUGGGGAGUACGGCCGCAAGGCUAAAACUUAAAUGAAUUGACGGGGUCAUAGCUGUUUCCU
rnacentral:rRNA from 1 species